rnacentral:misc_RNA from 1 species
GAACUCUGAUGGGUAAUUAAAUUGAACAGGGUAAAAAGUGGGGCUAUUAUGUGCACCAUAUGGAGGAGAAAGCACUGCAGAGCCAUUUUCAACAUAAUAAAAUUGAAUGCAUUUAAUGCAAUUUUCAUCCUGAGAAAUAAAAAUUUGGCAGAUUUCCCCAUGGCCCUUCUCAUCCCAAACGGUCCCGCCGGAGUAUAUUCCUACCGGUACACUUUGUAUCUUGAUCAUCUUGAUGGCAGAUCACGAUUGUA